rnacentral:rRNA from 1 species
UAGGGAAUAUUGCACAAUGGGGGAAACCCUGAUGCAGCGACGCCGCGUGAGUGAUGAAGGCCUUCGGGUCGUAAAGCUCUGUCGUAUGGGACUAACAAAAUGAAGGUACCAUGCAAGAAAGGAUCGGCUAACUUCGUGCCAGCAGCCGCGGUAAGACGAGGGAUCCUAGCGUUGUUCGGAAUCAUUGGGCGUAAAGCGGGUGUAGGCGGACUUUUAAGUCAGGUGUGAAAUCCCAGGGCUCAACCCUGGAAGUGCACUUGAUACUGCAAGUCUUGAGUGUGGUAGAGGCUAUUAGAAUUCUUGGUGUAGUGGUGAAAUACGUAGAUAUCAAGAGGAAUACCGGAGGCGAAGGCGGAUAGCUGGGCCAACACUGACGCUGAGACCCGAAAGCGUGGGGAUCAAACAGGAUUAGAUACCCCAAGUAGUCCCUGAGCGGGCUGGCAAGGCGCAU